rnacentral:rRNA from 1 species
GUCCACGCUGUAAACGGUGAGUGCUCGUCGUCGUGGGUAUUGACCCCUGCGGUGACCAAGUUAACACAUGAAGCACUCCGCCUGGGAAGUACGGUCGCAAGACUAAAACUCAAAGAAAUUGACGGGGGCCCGCACAAGCGGUGGAGCAUGUUGUUUAAUUCGAAGCAACGCGCAGAACCUUACCUGGAUUUGACAUCUCUGGAAUCUCCCUGAAAGGGGAGAGUGCCUUCGGGAGCCAGAAGACAGGUGCUGCAUGGCUGUCGU